rnacentral:rRNA from 1 species
AUGGUACGAGAAAAUAGAGCCCGCUUUCAGCCCGUGCGAGAGGUACCCUCCUGCGCCAAAUUGGUUUCCAAGGCACCAAAAUUGUCUCCAAAUUGUCACCUCCCAAACCUAGAUGCCAAGCCUGCCGCCGCCGCCCGCUGCGAGAUGGCGGGGUCCAAAAGAACAACUGCACCGACACCUCUGGAGUUCCCAUGCCUGCCGACUCAGCUUGUCUGGCCGCCAACUGCUCAGCCCCUCCCACUGCUGGCCAUCCCUUCCAUCUUUGGACCCCACACCUGGUUACCACCGCACCCACCGCAGUCCAUGGCAGUCUCCUCUCUACCGUGCUGGCUCAACGGGGUACAGCAAGAAUGGCCGGUUCAUAUGAUCAAGUCCCUUGAUGGACACCUGGUGCUGGAAUUGGAGGCUCUGCACAACCUAGACCCACGACUAAGAGUAUCGAGGGCUACGAUUUGCAAGCAUGAUACAUGCUACUUGCUUCCACAUUGGUAG